rnacentral:rRNA from 1 species
UACGGAGGGUGCAAGCGUUAUCCGGAUUCACUGGGUUUAAAGGGUGCGUAGGUGGGCAGGUAAGUCAGUGGUGAAAUCUCUGGGCUUAACUCAGAAACUGCCAUUGAUACUAUCUGGCUUGAAUACCGUGGAGGUCAGCGGAAUAUGUCAUGUAGCGGUGAAAUGCUUAGAUAUGACAUAGAACACCAAUUGCGAAGGCAGCUGGCUACACGAAUAUUGACACUGAUGCACGAAAGCGUGGGGAUCAAACAGG